AAAAGAAAAGCCUCUAGCGAGCUUCGAGCGGCCCGUACCCCAAACCGACACAGGUGGUCAGGUAGAGAAUACCGAGGCGAUCGGGCGAACUGUGGUUAAGGAACUCGGCAAAUUACCCCCGUAACUUCGGGAGAAGGGGGGCCACAGACUGUCAUACCCCACGCGGGUGGCAGCAGUAGGUGGCCGCAGAGACCAGGGGGAAGCGACUGUUUACUAAAAACACAGGUCCGUGCGAAGUCGUAAGACGAUGUAUACGGACUGACGCCUGCCCGGUGCUGGAACGUUAAGGGGACCGGUUAGUCCGCAAGGGCGAAGCUGAGAACUUAAGCGCCAGUAAACGGCGGUGGUAACUAUAACCAUCCUAAGGUAGCGAAAUUCCUUGUCGGGUAAGUUCCGACCUGCACGAAUGGCGUAACGACUUCCCUACUGUCUCAACCACAGGCCCGGCGAAAUUGCACUACGAGUAAAGAUGCUCGUUACGCGCGGAAGGACGGAAAGACCCCGGGACCUUCACUAUAGCUUGACAUUGGUAUCCGAAUUUAAUUGUGUAGGAUAGGUGGGAGGCUUUGAUCCGCGGACGCCAGUCCGUCGGGGAGCCAACGUUGAAAUACCACUCUGUUGAAUUUGGGUAUCUAACUUCGGACCGUGAUCCGGUUCAGGGACAGUGUCUGGUGGGUAGUUUAACUGGGGCGGUUGCCUCCUAAAAUGUAACGGAGGCGCCCAAAGGUUCCCUCAGCCUGGUUGGCAAUCAGGUGUUGAGUGCAAGUGCACAAGGGAGCUUGACUGUGAGACUGACAGGUCGAGCAGGGACGAAAGUCGGGACUAGUGAUCCGGCACCUGCGAGUGGAAGCGGUGUCGCUCAACGGAUAAAAGGUACCCCGGGGAUAACAGGCUGAUCUUCCCCAAGAGUCCAUAUCGACGGGAUGGUUUGGCACCUCGAUGUCGGCUCGUCGCAUCCUGGGGCUGGAGUAGGUCCCAAGGGUUGGGCUGUUCGCCCAUUAAAGCGGCACGCGAGCUGGGUUUAGAACGUCGUGAGACAGUUCGGUCCCUAUCCUCCGCGCGCGUAGGAGACUUGAGAAGAGCUGUCCCUAGUACGAGAGGACCGGGACGGACGAACCUCUGGUGUGCCAGUUGUCAUGCCAAUGGCACGGCUGGUUAGCUACGUUCGGAAGGGAUAACCGCUGAAAGCAUCUAAGCGGGAAGCUCGCUUCAAGAUGAGGUCUCCCACCCCUUCGAGGGUUAAGGCCCCCAGCUAGACCACUGGGUUGAUAGGCCAGAAGUGUAAGCCUGGUAACAGGUUCAGCCGACUGGUACUAAUAGGCCGAGGACUUCACCA
rnacentral:rRNA from 1 species